rnacentral:rRNA from 1 species
AAUCAACGCUGGCGGCGUGCCUAACACAUGCAAGUCGAACGCGAAGAUCCCGCAAGGGAUUUGUAGCGUGGCAAACGGGUGAGUAACGCGUGGGUGACCUGCCUUCGAGUGGGGGAUAACGUCCCGAAAGGGACGCUAAUACCGCAUAACAUCCCGCCUUUUAAGAGGUGGACAUCAAAGCCUGGGACCGCAAGGCCAGGCGCUUGAAGAGGGGCCCGCGUCUGAUUAGCUAGUUGGUGGGGUAAUGGCUCACCAAGGCAACGAUCAGUAUCCGGCCUGAGAGGGCGGACGGACACACUGGGACUGAGACACGGCCCAGACUCCUACGGGAGGCAGCAGUGGGGAAUUGUUCGCAAUGGGCGCAAGCCUGACGACGCAACGCCGCGUGGAGGAUGAAGAUCUUCGGGUCGUAAACUCCUUUCGAUCGAGACGAACGGCCUCUGGGUGAACAAUCCAGGGGAGUGACGGUACCGAGAGAAGAAGCCCCG